UACGAAGGGGGCUAGCGUUGCUCGGAAUUACUGGGCGUAAAGCGCACGUAGGCGGCUUUCUAAGUCGGGGGUGAAAUCCUGGAGCUCAACUCCAGAACUGCCUUCGAUACUGGAAAGCUCGAGUCCGGGAGAGGUGAGUGGAACUGCGAGUGUAGAGGUGAAAUUCGUAGAUAUUCGCAAGAACACCGGUGGCGAAGGCGGCUAUCUGGCCCGUAAUUGACGCUGAGGAGCGAAAGCGUGGGGAGCGAACAGG
rnacentral:rRNA from 1 species